AAGUAAAAAGCAAAUAUUGCUUUCAGUUUCGGCCUGAAAAUAUGACUUAGGUCUUUACUUG
rnacentral:tRNA from 1 species